rnacentral:tRNA from 1 species
GGAGCGGUAGCGGUAACCCCAGCUUUCAAUUCUCCUCGAGUCUUAUUGCAACUUCCUCCUUCUGCAGGCCGAUACCGCACCCCUUAUCCUUUCAAUUCUCCUCGAGUCUUAUUGCAACACGCUCGAACAGCACAUAAAAGCGAUAGCUGACGCCUUUCAAUUCUCCUCGAGUCUUAUUGCAACGUUGGUCGGGGGUUCAAAUCCCCUCCCCGGCUCCA